GACGAACGCUGGCGGCGUGCUUCAUACAUGCAAGUCGAACGAGGUCCAACUGGUAGCAAUACCGGUGAAGACCUAGUGGCGAACGGGUGAGUAACACGUGAGGAACCUGCCCCGAAGACCGGGAUAACAGUGGGAAACCGCUGCUAAUACCGGAUACCCCCACCGGAUCGCAUGGUCUGGUGAGGAAAUGGAUUCCGCUUCGGGAGGGCCUCGCGGCCUAUCAGCUUGUUGGUGGGGUAANGGCCUACCAAGGCGACGACGGGUAGCUGGUCUGAGAGGACGAUCAGCCACACUGGGACUGAGACACGGGCCAGACUCCUACGGGAGGCAGCAGUAGGGAAUCUUGCGCAAUGGGCGAAAGCCUGACGCAGCAACGCCGCGUGAGGGAUGAAUGCCUUCGGGUU
rnacentral:rRNA from 1 species